GUUAUCAUAGGUUACGCGCGACUCCAGAGGCAAUUUGGAAUCUCGGCACGAAAUCGUCUGAUGAAAAUCUGAGGUGCCCGACGCAUAACAUUUUGAACGUGCCACGGAGGAUCAAGGCAAAAAACGAGAGCAAAAAAUGGUGCACGCUGAAGGCGGAAAUGAAGCAUGAUCUGGCUUGCAUCUGGUCAUGAAGAAAUUGCUGACACGUUAGUUGCAGUCCACCUCCACCAACAGGGUGGAAAACAAAGAUCGCCAUUACGAUUAGCUGCUAUCUCCCAGUUCAAGCACUUUUGUGUCUGGACACUGGUUCCUGUGGAUGGGGUGUUACAAGCUUCACUGUCUGAUAUAGAAGUGAUGAGCAUCCAUAAGGACACAUGCCAGAAAGGGAGUCUCUUUGGGAUGACAAACCCUCAUCACCUCAUGAGGAUACAAUGGUUGACGAAUGGUUCUCAAGCACAUCGAAACUUCCAACAAAUAAUUCAUGAAAAAGCCAGUCAGUGCUAGCACCAGGAAUUGAACAUGGGCCAUCCUGCUACCAGUCAGAGAUGUUCAGUGGUGUAGCCACGAGGGGGCUAGGGGGUCUCGAGCCCCCCCUACCUGCCACGGACCGACCCACACAAAUCGUGCAAAUCCGAGAACAUAAUAUAUGGGGGGGGGGGACCAGUGUGACUAUCGCGAAAGUUAUUGCAGUUCAUGGCGUCUAUCUAAGAAGCAUUCUUGAAUGGUUUUCAAAGUAUGAGCUUUUCAAAAUACUUCCAAUCUCGUGACACCACUUCAUUGGUCAUGACAGCCUAUACAUGUAAUCGUACUGUGAACAUCUAAAUCAACUAUUUUCGUUCACUUUUUUAAUCCUCAGUUUGAAGUGUGCACAAGUAUGUGUGUGUUGUCGACACAGGAUCAGCGGGGGGGAGUAUUCGUAUCGAGCCCCCCCCCCCACCUUUGAGGUCGGGCUACGCCACUGGAGAUGUUACAUUUCAGGCGCUCAUUGACUUUUGGUGAAUUACUUGUUGACUUUGUCCCAAGGUGGAGCUCGCUACAGCUCAUUUGCUAUCUGUUAAUGUUGUGGCGUGUGUUGCGUUUUUUUCUUUGUGUGUUCCAGACUCAGAACGAUUAAUUUGGAUCAGGUCAGGUACGUUUCAUUUAGACAUGGCAAACAUAAAGUGGUGUUUCUCAACACAACUUAGCAGUGGUCUUCAUGCAUUACUGAUACAGGCCAUUAAGCGUGAAUAGAAACCUAGCCAGAGCAGCUGAUACACAGAGAGAACGUAGCCCGUGUGUGUUUGUCUUUUCCACCGCAGCCCUUGGGUUUCCUCCCUGAUGG